GUAACUGUGUCCCCUUGCUAUCCUUCAAUAGCAUUCUGAGAAUUAUAAAUCUUAUUUCAAAAUGUAAUAAUGGACAUUGCCAUCUAUUUUAUCUUCACACAUGAAUUUUAAUUUUAUCCAGGGUUCUCUGAAAAUAGCUUAAGUAUGUGCAACUCUCUAUUACUUUUGUUACAUGCACAGAAAUACAUCAACAGUUAUUUCUGCCCACCCCCAUUUCCCCUUCCUCUUGUAUUACAAGUUUUCCUUCUAUUUUUCAUUAUUUUUAGGUUUUACAUACUAGGGAAAACACAGAAUAUUUGUCUUUCUGAGUCGAUCUUACUUCAUUCCACACAAUGAUCUGUUGUUCUUUUCAUUUAUCUGCAUAUGACAGAAUCUUGUGGUUUUAUGAUAUUCCAUGGUGCAUAUACCCCACACUUACUUUAUAUAUGCAUCUGUUGAUGGGAAAUUAGGUAGUUCAUGUCUUGAUUAUUGUACAUCGUACUGCAAUAAACAUGAGUACGCAGGUAUCUUUAUGGUAUGGUGACUUCAAUUCUUUUAGGUAUAUACCAAGGAGUGGUAUUGCUGGAUCAAAUGACAGCUUUAUUUUUAAAUUUUUGAAGAAGCUCUACAUUAAUUUCCAUAGUGACUGUAUUAAUUUACAUUCCCAACUGCAAUGUAGAAGGAAGAUUUCGCCUAUUCUCUGCGACAUUUAUUGCUUUUUGUGUUCUUGAUGAUAGUCAUUCUCACAGAGAUUCAAAGUUUCCGGUCUUCACCUAGGUCUUCAAUCCAUUUGACUUCAUUUUUGUACAUGUUGAGAGACAAAGUUCUAGUUUCAGUCUUCUACAAGUGGCUAUCCAGAUUUCCCAGAACCUAAAGAGGUUGUAUUUUCCCCAGAAUAAAUUUUUGGCUUCUUUGUCCAGAAGCAGGUGGCCAUUGUUGCACAGGGAGGGGGUUUGUUCCCCCUGAAGUUUUUCCACUAUGGUAAGGAGAAGAAGGCAUAGUUCACUUAUAAAAGAUGCAGAAAUGACCAUUUAGAAAUUCCCAUUGAGAAAGAAAAUGAAAUGUAAAUUCCUUCUUGCUUAUUGGGAAGAGAGAAUGCGAAGUACACAGGUCUACUUGCACAGAAGAUGUUCUGAUCAAGUCAGGUGAAGAUGAGCCUUGAGGAUGGAGCUUGUCAGCAAACUGCCAGACAGAUGUACACUGCCGGUACGAUGGUAGCAGGGUUUGUGUCGAUUGGCUCCUGCUCCCAGACAUGUGAUAUCUUGCUUCCAAGACUUGUUUCGGCUGUUAAUGGAAAUGCCUCUGUAGUUUCAAGGCUAAGUAUGAUCCUGUCUGUUGGCUUCAAGAGGUAGCCUUCAUUGUAAAGAUGUGCCAUCUCAGGAAGAAAACUGGAGACAACCCCAUAACUUGGACUUUCACCACAGUGUUGCUGCCAGUUAAACUCUGACCUGUUACUGUCCCUCCCACAAGUCUUCCUUGACUACAUCAUUAUAAAAGAUAUUCUCCAAUAAUUACUCACUAGCCCAGUAUCUUGCUGUGUGUUUGUGUGUUUUUUAUUUAUAAUAAUAAUUAUUC
ensembl:lncRNA